rnacentral:rRNA from 1 species
AGAUUGAACGCUGGCGGCAGGCCUAACACAUGCAAGUCGAGCGGCAGCACGGGUACUUGUACCUGGUGGCGAGCGGCGGACGGGUGAGUAAUGCCUAGGAAUCUGCCUGAUAGUGGGGGAUAACGUUCGGAAACGGACGCUAAUACCGCAUACGUCCUACGGGAGAAAGUGGGGGAUCUUCGGACCUCACGCUAUCAGAUGAGCCGAUGUCGGAUUAGCUAGUGGUGAGUAAUGCUCACCAAGGCGACGAUCCGUAGCUGGUCUGAGAGGAUGAUCAGCCACACUGGAACUGAGACACGGUCAGACCUCACGGAGCAGCAGUGGGAAUGUUAGGACAAGUGGGACGACGAAGCCUAGACUUCGACG